rnacentral:rRNA from 1 species
GAGGGGUGCUAGCGUUAUUCGGAAUUAUUGGGCGUAAAGGGUGCGUAGACGGCAUAUUAAGUCAAUCGUUAAAUUCCCCGGCCUAACCGGGGGCCAGCGGUAGAUACUGAUGUGCUAGAGGGUGGAAGAGAGAAGUGGAAUUCUCGGAGUAGCGGUCAAAUGCGUAGAUCUCGAGAGGAACACCGAUGGCGAAGGCAGCUUCUUGGUCCACUCCUGACGUUGAGGCACGAAAGCGUGGGGAGCAAACAGGAUUAGAUACCCUGGUAGUCCACGCCGUAAACGAUGAUCACUAGACGUUAGCCCCCCGUUUAACGGGGUUAGUGUCGUAGCUAACGCGUUAAGUGAUCCGCCUGGGGACUACGGUCGCAAGACUA